AAUAAACCAAAUUUUCACUUUUUAUCUUCAAUUUUUGACUCUUCGUCUUAUUAAAAAAAUUUGCGAUUGAUAUUUUUGUUUUUAUUAGAUGAUAAAUCAUGAAUAGUACUUUAUGUGUGACUAAUUUUUUUUCUAAUUUUCUGAAGUUCUUUUAAAAAAGACGGAUGGUUAAACGUUGGACACAGAAACCGGAGAAUUCGUUUUUU
rnacentral:pre_miRNA from 1 species